rnacentral:rRNA from 1 species
CCUACGGGUGGCAGCAGUGGGGAAUAUUGCGCAAUGGGCGAAAGCCUGACGCAGCGACGCCGCGUGAGGGAUGAAGGUCUUCGGAUCGUAAAACUCUGUCUGCAGAGAAGUACGAUCACUGUCCUAAUCAGCAGUGCAUUGACGGUAUCUGCAAAGGAAGCACCGGCUAACUCCGUGCCAGCAGCUGCGGUAAAACGGAGGGUGCGAGCGUUAAUCGGAUUUACUGGGCGUAAAGCGCGCGUAGGCGGUAUGUCAAGUCAAGGGUGAAAGCCCCGCGCUCAACGUGGGAACUGCCUUUGAAACUGGCAAACUGGAGUGUAGGUGAGGAUAGUGGAAUUCCAGGUGUAGGAGUGAAAUCCGUAGAUAUCUGGAGGAACAUCAGUGGCGAAGGCGACUAUCUGGAACAUAACUGACGCUGAGGAGCGAAAGCGUGGGUAGCAAACAGGAUUAGAUACCCCUGUAGUC